GCCAAAGCAAGCUAAUAGACUGUGUGGUUUUUCACUCUAUCAGAACGUACUUCUGACAGGGUGUUACAGUAUUUUUCUUGCUAAAAAAUGUGAAAAUGAAACCAGAGACAUUUUCAAAAGCCUGCUUUCUGCUCAAAAGAGACUUUCUUCAAAACUGAAAGCUAUAAUUCAUUGUUUAUCUGGGAGAAAUUAUGAAUACUGCCAAAUUUUCGGAGAUGGAACAGUGAAAUUCUGCCUCCAAAUCUUCAAACACUUCAAAGGCAAAAACAUAGUUUUCAGAGGAAAAGAAAAAUUCUGAAGAAAACAUAUCAUGGCAAUUUCAACCGUUCAUUCAUUUUUUCAGUGUCAUUAUAAGAACAGCAUAAAAUUAUUUGUUACUGUGCAUUGGACCCUAUAUUGAUGACUUCAAAUGUAUGUUUCCAGACAAUGUUCAUAGCAAAAUUAAAUAAACCUUGGAAUGACUGCUGCAAUGGAAGAAGCUGCUACAUGAAAGGAAUUUUUACAGGCAAUACAAACAUAAACCCCAAAGUGCAGUUUUACAUGAAUGACAUAAAAUUCAA
rnacentral:lncRNA from 1 species